rnacentral:tRNA from 1 species
GGGGUUAUGGCUGAGUGGUAGAGCACUCACCUAGCAUGUGUGAGGCCCUGGGUUUGAUUCUCAGCACCA